rnacentral:lncRNA from 1 species
GGCGGCGGCGGCGGCGUGAGGCGGGCGCGGUGGGGGCGCCUCGGUCGCGGAGAUAGUGCGGUGCUGCGCGCCUGGAGCUCCCCUCCCCUCCCCCCUCCCCGGGCGCGGGCGGCGGAGCUGGCCCCGCGAUGCAAGAUCAGCAUAUCCUGACAGAAAGGGAAAUGAAAGAUGGAAACAUGUUAACUACUGCUUGUAAUAGUAGAAGGUAAGACUGAAAUUUUGAUUGUCUUGAAACUUCUAUUUAUGCCCAUUAAUCAAGUUUGAAAUUGGCUUCUUCAGUAAAUAAACAACAAUAGACAAUGGUUUUUACCUUUCA